UCAGCCUGAAUGCCCUCGUUGCAGCCACAUCCAGCCUUCUCCGGUGUGGGAGGUGGAAAGGAUCGGAGGAGAGGUCACUGGUGCCCAGUGUCUCCCACAGGCGCUGGCCCUACGGCUCGGACGGCUGCCAGGCUCACGGCUUCCAGGGCUUUGUGACAGCGUUGGCCAGCAUCUGCAGCAGUGCAGCCAUCGCAUGGGGGCGUUAUCACCACUACUGCACCCGUAGCCAGCUGGCCUGGAACUCAGCCGUCUCUCUGGUGCUCUUCGUGUGGCUGUCUUCUGCCUUCUGGGCAGCUCUGCCCCUUCUGGGUUGGGGUCACUACGACUAUGAGCCACUGGGGACAUGCUGCACCCUGGACUACUCCAAGGGGGACAGAAACUUCACCAGCUUCCUCUUCACCAUGUCCUUCUUCAACUUCGCCAUGCCCCUCUUCAUCACGAUCACUUCCUACAGUCUCAUGGAGCAGAAACUGGGGAAGAGU
rnacentral:lncRNA from 1 species